rnacentral:misc_RNA from 1 species
UUUGUACGGCUUAGAUCGUUCUUCGAAGAUUGCUUCAAAUCAAGAAAGAUGGGACCUUGCCUCCAUUUAAGCAUAAGGAUGUUGAUUACAUUAUUUGCUUUUACAGUAUUCAGUUUGAAUUUAUGGGUAAGUGGGCAAAUGAAUGUCUGGAGUACUAGAACUUUGUGACAGCGGGUGUACUAAGGUUAGGAUUUGACUUGCCCUUAGCGAGCAAAUUAUGGAAAACAAAUGCACUUGCGGAAUCUUUUAGAUAAUCUUCUACAUCUUUCUAUAAUUUGCUCGCUAAGGGCAAGUCAAAUCCUAACCUUAGUACACCCGCUGUCACAAAGUUCUAGUACUCCAGACAUUCAUUUGCCCUUUUACCCAUAAAUUCAAACUGAAUACUGUAAAAGCAAAUAAUGUAAUCAACAUCCUUAUGCUUAAAUGGAGGCAAGGUCCCAUCUUUCUUGAUUUGAAGCAAUCUUCGAAGAACGAUCUAAGCCGUACAAAAGGGAGAUGAUUCAUUUCAAGACACAAGAAAAAUGUAUGCAACAACAGUAUUUGCUCAUUGCAAACUGCUCUAAUUAUUGCAAUUACGGCUUUACAAGUUCAGUUUGCCAAUCAUUCCAAAGGGCAUACUUUCUCAAAUGCUUGCUGCUCUUUGCGACACAAAUCAAAUUCAUUUGUAUGGUAAUACAUGCAACCAACGUAAGCAUCCAUCUCUUUUGUGCACCUCUGGUGAAGAUCUUUCAUCAGGCCAAGGACGCAGCGAGUGACUUCCU